GAUGAUUCAUCUACUGUAUAAUUACAUUGUAACAGAAAAUAAAACCAAAAAUAAUAAAUUAGCCGAUUGCAAAAGAAAUUAUCAUACCUAACCUAAUAAUAACAAAAAAUAUUAAUCUUUUAUAUCUAAUAUUUUCACAUGAUAAGACAUAUAUGUCGUGGAUGUUCAGUUGGAAGAUUCGGAGGUUGUGGAGGUGUCGUAGGUUAUGGAAGAUUUGGGAGUUACGGAGGUUGUGGAGGUGUCGUUCGAUUCACGUAAAACAUAGAGGAAUACGGUAAACACAAAAAGCACGGAUCGGAAAAUAACCAAAUCAAAGAAAUCGAAGGGACCCCUGAAGGAACUCUGGAAACUGGAGGGACCUCGGAAAAUGGAGGGAUUCCGGAAUCUGGAGAAACCCCAAAAACAGGAGGAAACCCAGAGACCUGAGGAAUCCCGAAAAUCAGAAGAACCCCGAAAAACGGAAAAACCUCGAAUACAGGAGGAACCCGGAAAAUUGGAAACAUCCGAAUCGGAGGAACCCCGAUAAUAGGAAGAAUCCGAACCGGAAGAACCCGAACCGGAAGAACCUAAACUAGAGGAACCCGAACCGGAAGAACCUAAACCAGAGGAACCCGAAUCAGAGGAAUUGAAUCGGAGGAAUCGAACAGGAAGAAUCCGAACUAGAGGAAUCGAUGAUAGUACUUGAGUGUUGCAACGCUUCCAUGUAAGAAGCGCAGGAGAAAAGCACAAAAGAGAACCCCUCCUCAGGAGUGAAAAGUUAAAAUAAAGAUACAAAGGCGGAAGG
rnacentral:lncRNA from 1 species